rnacentral:rRNA from 1 species
UACAGAGGUCUCAAGCGUUGUUCGGAUUCAUUGGGCGUAAAGGGUGCGUAGGCGGCGCGGUAAGUCGGGUGUGAAAUCUCGGGGCUUAACUCCGAAACUGCAUUCGAUACUGCCGUGCUCGAGGACCGGAGAGGAUAGUGGAAUUCCCAGUGUAGUGGUGAAAUACGUAGAGAUUGGGAAGAACACCAGUGGCGAAGGCGGCUAUCUGGACGGUUUCUGACGCUAAGACGCGAAAGCGUGGGGAGCAAACAGG